rnacentral:rRNA from 1 species
UACGUAGGGGGGCUAGCGUUGUCCGGAUUUAUUGGGCGUAAAGAGCGUGUAGGCGGCCAGGUAGGUCUGCUGUGAAAACUCGAGGCUCAACCUCGAGACGUCGGCGGAAACCAUCUGGCUAGAGUCCGGAAGAGGAGAGUGGAAUUCCUGGUGUAGCGGUGAAAUGCGCAGAUAUCAGGAAGAACACCCGUGGCGAAGGCGGCUCUCUAGUACGGUACUGACGCUGAGACGCGAAAGCGUGGGGAGCGAACAGG